rnacentral:rRNA from 1 species
CCAAGGAGUUUGACGUGCGCGCGAGUCGUCGGGUCUUGCACAGGCCCGAAGGCGAAAGCGAAAGCAAUUUGGGAGCUUGCACACGCACCUCCAGAUGGGAUCCGGGCGUCCUCCGCGGCCCCGGCGCACCAUCGGCUCGUCCGCGCCGCCUCGUCGGCCGGGCGGAGUUUGAGCGCGCACGUCGAUACCCGAAAGAUGGUGAACUAUGGCUGGGCAGGACGAAGCCAGAGGAAACUCUGGUGGAGGUCUGCAGCGGUUCUGACGUGCAAAUCGAUCGUCAGACCUGGCUAUAGGGGCGAAAGACUAAUCGAACCAUCUAGUAGCUGGUUCCCUCCGAAGUUUCCCUCAGGAUAGCUGGCGCUCGAGGAGGGAGCAGUCACAUCCGAUAAAGCGAAUGAUUAGAGGCCUUGGGGCCGAAAAGACCUCAACCUAUUCUCAAACUUUAAAUGGGUGCGAAGUCCGGAUUUAACGAGCGAAGACCGGACAGUUCUCUUGGAUGCGAGUGCCCAGUGGGCCACUUUUGGUAAGCAAC